GCCUGGGUGGCUCAGUCGGUUGAGCGUCCGACUUUGGCUCAGGUCAUGAUCUCAUGGUUUGUGGGUUCGAGCCCUGCAUCGGGCU
rnacentral:tRNA from 1 species